UUCCUUUUCCGUCGGCGACGAACGGAGGUGUACGCGCGGUUUACCACCGGCCAUGAGGUUAUUGGUGGCCGGGGUGCAGCGCCCGCGGGCGCGUCGCCAGGCUUUUCCAGAUGCAACAGAGCCUAUGAGUUGAAGAUGAAUCAAGGUUGUUGUGGAUGUUUUCCAAAAACUUACAACAGAGGAUGACUAAACCUCCAGGAAGCACAACUGCCUAUAACAAGGUACCAAAGGUAACUGCAAGUGAACGGACAAGUUCUUAUCUGUGGUGUUUUAAAAUUCUUCAUUGCGUCAGGUGUGGCCUGUGACAUUUUUGGAAGAAAAAACAAAGAAUUGAUCAAGAAGAUAAGAAGUGAAGCAAAUGAUGAAAAGUAAUAAUUUAUUUAACAAUGAUCAAUAAAAUUAUAUAGAAAACCAUAAUAAAGUUAUAUAGAAAACACGUUUGAAUACUUUUAA